rnacentral:rRNA from 1 species
GAUGAACGCUGGCGGCGUGCCUAAUACAUGCCAGUCGAGCGAACAGACGAGGAGCUUGCUCCUCUGACGUUAGCGGCGGACGGGUGAGUAACACGUGGAUAACCUACCUAUAAGACUGGGAUAACUUCGGGAAACCGGAGCUAAUACCGGAUAAUAUAUUGAACCGCAUGGUUCAAUUGUGAAAGACGGUUUUGCUGUCACUUAUAGAUGGAUCCGCGCCGCAUUAGCUAGUUGGUAAGGUAACGGCUUACCAAGGCAACGAUGCGUAGCCGACCUGAGAGGGUGAUCGGCCACACUGGAACUGAGACACGGUCCAGACUCCUACGGGAGGCAGCAGUAGGGAAUCUUCCGCAAUGGGCGAAAGCCUGACGGAGCAACGCCGCGUGAGUGAUGAAGGUCUUCGGAUCGUAAAACUCUGUUAUUAGGGAAGAACAAAUGUGUAAGUAACUGUGCACGUCUUGACGGUACCUAAUCAGAAAGCCACGGCUAACUACGUG